GGCAACCUGCUUGGGUCCCUUUCCACACCGCGGAAGCUUUGUUCUUUUGCUCUUUGCAAUAAAUCUUGCUGCUGCUCACUCUUUGGGUCCACACUGCCUUUAUGAGCUGUAACACCGCGAAGGUCCACAGCUUCACUCCUGAGCCAGCGAGACCACGAACCCCACCAGAAGGAAGAAUCUGUGAACACAUCCGAACAUCAGAAGGAACAAACUCUAGACAUGCCGCCUUUAAGAACUGCAACACUCACUGCGAGUGUCCGCGGCUUCAUUCUUGAAGUCAGUGAGACGAAGAACCCACCAAUUCCAGACACAUUUUGGCGACCUAGAUGGGACAAUCGCCUAUCACCGAGUGGUGAGACCAUCGCCUAUAGCUGAGCGGCGAGACAAUCACCUAUCGCCAAGCAGUCCAGAGGGCUCUGAUACUAUCAAUUUGGGAGUCUC
rnacentral:lncRNA from 1 species